AACGCGAAGAACCUUACCUGGGCUCGAAGCGCAGUGGACCGGGGUGGAAACAUCCCUUUUCGCAAGAACUGCUGCGGAGGUGCUGCAUGGCUGUCGUCAGCUCGUGUCGUGAGAUGUUGGGUUAAGUCCCGCAACGAGCGCAACCCUUAUCGUUAGUUGCCAGCGGGUUAUGCCGGGCACUCUAGCGAAACCGCCUCGGAUAACGGGGAGGAAGGUGGGGAUGACGUCAAGUCCUCAUGGCCUUUAUGUCCAGGGCUACACACGUGCUACAAUGGUCGGUACAAACCGUCGCAAACCCGCGAGGGGGAGCUAAUCGGAAAAAGCCGGCCUCAGUUCGGAUUGGAGUCUGCAACCCGACUCCAUGAAGCUGGAAUCGCUAGUAAUCGCAGAUCAGAACGCUGCGGUGAAUACGUUCCCGGGCCUUGUACACACCGCGAGC
rnacentral:rRNA from 1 species